rnacentral:rRNA from 1 species
GUCGAACGGUAACAGGUUAAGCUGACGAGUGGCGAACGGGUGAGUAAUGUAUCGGAACGUGCCCAGUCGUGGGGGAUAACUGCUCGAAAGAGCAGCUAAUACCGCAUACGACCUGAGGGUGAAAGCGGGGGAUCGCAAGACCUCGCGCGAUUGGAGCGGCCGAUAUCAGAUUAGGUAGUUGGUGAGGUAAAGGCUCACCAAGCCGACGAUCUGUAGCUGGUCUGAGAGGACGACCAGCCACACUGGGACUGAGACACGGCCCAGACUCCUACGGGAGGCAGCAGUGGGGAAUUUUGGACAAUGGGCGCAAGCCUGAUCCAGCCAUGCCGCGUGCGGGAAGAAGGCCUUCGGGUUGUAAACCGCUUUUGUCAGGGAAGAAAAGGUUCUGGCUAAUACCUGGGACUCAUGACGGUACCUGAAGAAUAAGCACCGGCUAACUACGUGCCAGCAGCCGCGGUAAUACGUAGGGUGCAAGCGUUAAUCGGAAUUACUGGGCGUAAAGCGUGCGCAGGCGGUUAUGCAAGACAGAGGUGAAAUCCCCGGGCUCAACCUGGGAACUGCCUUUGUGACUGCAUGGCUAGAGUACGGUAGAGGGGGAUGGAAUUCCGCGUGUAGCAGUGAAAUGCGUAGAUAUGCGGAGGAACACCGAUGGCGAAG